ACACGCGCGCUCCCAGACACACACACAGACACACGCGGGCCACCCCACGGCCACGCACCCCGCACCCACACCCGCGCUCACACUCACAUUCACACUCACACUCACACGCGCAGGCCCCGCGGCCGCCGCUUCCCGGAGGCGGUGCUUGGCCCGGAUCCCGGCUGGGGCUGGGGUGACAAAUUCUACCGCCAGUAAUCACUUGUGAAAAAUCAACAGUGAAGCCCAGUGGCUCCCGGUCCCCCGGAGAAAUCUGAGUGGAUUUCCAGAAGAACAAGACUUCGGCUUCAGACAGAUGUGGUUUCAAAGCUGCAGUCCCGGCCUUCCUGAGCUGUGUGACCUUGGUUACGUCCACGUGCCCAUUGCCUCGCCUGGGCCUCACUUUUCUCAUCUGUAUCAUGGAGUUGGCACCACCGGCUCUGCCCUCAAGGUUUGCCGCGCCUGCAGAGGCCCCUGAGCAUUCAGCAGGUGCUCACUCAGCAGGAGCUGCCAGACGUUGAAUGUGUGAUGGGAAUCAUUGGAUGCUGCCGCCUCUCCGCCCACCCGCCACCUGACACUGCCUCCUGGCUCUCCAUCACUGCCCAGGAGUCGGGCAGCCUCCCCG
rnacentral:lncRNA from 10 species